rnacentral:misc_RNA from 1 species
UUGGUUUCGUUUUUAGUUUUGAUAUUGAUCAACAAUAUCUACAUUAAGUUGCAAGUCACGAAUUUAUCGCACUAGAUUUCUAGUGGUUUUAAAAGGUUUGGAGUAACGACACCAAAACACAAAUUUUGCUGCCGAAUAAUCGAGUUCCGCAUGACGCAAAUUAAAUCAAGUUUUUUAAACAUUGAUUUAAAUUGUUUUAAAGGGUGUGGUAAUGAUCCUUCCGCAGGUUCACCUACGGAAA